UUUGUAUGACUGGCCAGAUGGAUUGUUAUUGCACUGAUGCUUGACAUCUGAUCAAAAGGAUCUGGGAUAGCAGAGAUGCAGAGUCUGCCUGCUGAAUGUUUCUCUUCUGUAUGUUUUCAAAUCAUUGGUGACAUGUGGAUGACCUGAACAAUGAUCCUUGAUGACACAGUGAGUCCCAGUCCAUGCUUUCUGCCCACUGAAUGCGCUGGAAGAUGUCUAUGCUCAUGAGGAUGGUUGGCAACCAAUAGCACCAGACUGCAGCAGAGGAGCAGGCUUUCUCUGCACACCUGUGACAGUGAUGCUCGCUUGGUUCUCCUGCCUUGCCAGUGCCCUGCCUCCAGCUGCAUGCCGUGCGUGGCAGGGCAUCUGA
rnacentral:lncRNA from 1 species